rnacentral:RNase_P_RNA from 1 species
UGCCCAUAUCAGAUGGUCGCCCCCCACCAGUUCUUAAGUUUUUAGAAAUUUCUAAAAAUCUAAGAACUGGUGGGGGGAGGAAAGUCCGAACACUCCUGCGGUGAAAGCUGUAGAGCAGGGUAGCGGGUAACGCCCGUCGUCCAGUACCUAUUUUGCACUUUAGUUUUCUAGAGAUCAAAAUAGGUGCUGGACAGAGGUGCGAGCAGAGACGCCACGCAACGAAAGACGCAUGGGCGCUUCCGCAAGGGAGCGUAGCCGAGCACCAGCAAUGGUGCUCGGGUGAAACGGCUAAAUCCUUACCUGGGUGCAAGGCCGUGUCGCGCGCAAGCGCGAAGUGCCGCUCGAGGGUGCGAGUAAUCGCACUCCCAGAUAAAUGAUCAUCCAAAGCUCUUUAAUAAGAGCUGGGACAGAAUUCGGCUUAUCGAUAUGGAAUAU